CCUACGGGCGGCAGCAGUGAGGAAUAUUGGUCAAUGGGCGCUAGUCUGAACCAGCCAAGUAGCGUGAAGGAUGACUGCCCUCUGGGUUGUAAACUUCUUUUAUAUGGGAAUAAAGAGGGGUAUGUAUACUGCGUUGUAUGUACCUUAUGAAUAAGGAUCGGCUAACGCCGUGCCAGCAGCCGCGGUAAUACGGGGGAUCCGAGCGUUAUCCGGAUUUAUUGGGUUUAAAGGGAGCGUAGGCGGGUUGUUAAGUCAGUUGUGAAAGUUUGCGGCUCAACCGUAAAAUUGCAGUUGAUACUGGCAGCCUUGAGUACAGUAGAGGUAGGCGGAAUUCGUGGUGUAGCGGUGAAAUGCUUAGAUAUCACGAAGAACUCCGAUUGCGAAGGCAGCCGUCUGGACUGUAACUGACGCUGAUGCUCGAAAGUGUGGGUAUCAAACAGGAUUAGAUACCCCUGUAGUC
rnacentral:rRNA from 1 species